rnacentral:misc_RNA from 1 species
AACGCAUCUUGCGCUCCUUGGUAUUCCGAGGAGCAUGCCUGUUUGAGUGUCAUUAAAGUUCUCAACCAUGCCAGUUUUCUCUGGUCAUGGCUUUGGAUUUGGGGGGGUUUAUCCUUUUGCUGGCUUUAGAAAUGAAGUCAGCUCCCCUGAAAUGCAUUAGUAGUAUCUAAGCAGAAACUACGAUAGGUGUGAUAAAUUAUCUAUGCCUUUGUAUCAACUGCAUGCACUGCUUUCUCUAACAAAAAUGUUUUGACAAAUUUGACCUCAAAUCAGGCAGGACUACCCGCUGAACUUAA